GAUGAAGAACGCAGCGAAAUGCGAUAAGUAAUGUGAAUUGCAGAAUUCAGUGAAUCAUCGAAUCUUUGAACGCACAUUGCGCCCGCCAGUAUUCUGGCGGGCAUGCCUGUCCGAGCGUCAUUUCAACCAUCAAGCCCCCGGGCUUGUGUUGGGGACCUGCGGCUGCACGCAGGCCCUGAAAACCAGUGGCGGGCUCGCUGUCACACCGAGCGUAGUAGCAAUCACCUCGCUCAGGGCGUGCUGCGGGUUCCGGCCGUUAAACAGCCUUACAAAACCCAAGGUUGACCUCGGAUCAGGUAGGAAGACCCGCUGAACUUAAGCAUAUCAAUAAGCGGAGGA
rnacentral:misc_RNA from 1 species